rnacentral:rRNA from 1 species
UACAUGGGGUGCAAACGUUGCUCGGAAUCAUUGGGCGUAAAGCGCGCGUAGGCGGUUACUUAAGUCGGAUGUGAAAGCCCUCGGCUUAACUGAGGAAGUGCAUCCGAAACUGAGUAGCUGGAGUACGAAAGAGGGUCGCGGAAUUCCCGGUGUAGAGGUGAAAUUCGUAGAUAUCGGGAGGAACACCGGUGGCGAAGGCGGCGACCUGGGUCGAGACUGACGCUGAGACGCGAAAGCGUGGGGAGCGAACAGG